AGUGAACGCUGGCGGUAGGCCUAACACAUGCCAGUCGAACGGCAGCACAGUAGGAGCUUGCUCUUACGGGUGGCGAGUGGCGGACGGGUGAGGAAUACAUCGGAAUCUACUUUUUCGGGGGGGUUAAGGUAGGGAAAUUUACGCUAAUACCGCAUACGACCUACGGGUGAAAGCAGGGGACCUUCGGACCUUGCGCGAUUGAUUGAGCCGAUGUCGGAUUAGCUAGUUGGCGGGGUAAAGGCCAACCAAGGCGACGAUCCGUAGCUGGUCUGAGAGGAUGAUCAGCCACACUGGAACUGAGACACGGUCCAGACUCCUACGGGAGGCAGCAGUGGGGAAUAUUGGACAAUGGGCGCAAGCCUGAUCCAGCCAUACCGCGUGGGUGAAGAAGGCCUUCGGGUUGUAAAGCCCUUUUGUUAGGAAAGAAAAGCAGCAGGUUAAUACCCCGCUGUUCUGACGGUACCCAAAGAAUAAGCACCGGCUAACUUCGUG
rnacentral:rRNA from 1 species